AGCUAUUUAUCAACUUCAUCUGAUUUGAUUAUACUUACUGAAACUAUCCCAAAUCAUGAACUAGGCUAAUAUAUACUAUUAAUAGCACCAAGUCAGUGGUGCUAUCAAGUUUUUAGCCAUUAGAUUAAGAGAUGUACGGUUAGGAUGAUGUGGGCCCUCUAGGGUUGAGUCAGUGGUUGGUUGAAUAGUAUGAUCUAACGGAUAAAAAUUAUCAAAAGGAUAGAUCUAACGGCGGAAAACUUGGUAGCACCAAAUGCUUCGUGCUAUUAAUAGCAUAGCAGCUGGACUCUCCAAAUCAUAUCCAAUAAUAUUUCCAAACACAGAAUUUAAUGCACUCUGACUUUCAUUUUCUAUCCAAAUAAGAAUUUGGAAGUAGCAAAGCUGGAUGUACAGGUCAUACGACGGACUAAACGCAUAAAUUUUUUUAAAAAAUAAUAAAAAAUGAAAUUCAAUACAAAUCAUUAUAAUUCCAAAUAAGAGAAUUCAUAUCCCAAUCCAACUUACUUUAAUCUAUAAAUUUAUAUA
rnacentral:lncRNA from 1 species